AUACGUAGGUGGCAAGCGUUGUCCGGAUUUACUGGGUGUAAAGGGCGUGUAGGCGGAGAUGCAAGUCAGGAGUGAAAUCUAGGGGCUCAACCCCUAAACUGCUUUUGAAACUGUAUCCCUUGAGUAUCGGAGAGGCAGGCGGAAUUCCUAGUGUAGCGGUGAAAUGCGUAGAUAUUAGGAGGAACACCAGUGGCGAAGGCGGGUAACUGGACUGCAACUGACGCUGAGGCGCGAAAGUGUGGGGAGCAAACAGGAUUAGAUACCCUGGUAGUCCACACUGUAAACGAUGAAUGCUAGGUGUAGGGGGUAUCGACCCCUUCUGUGCCGCAGUCAACACAAUAAGCAUUCCGCCUGGGGAGUACGGCCGCAAGGUUGAAACUCAAAUGAAUUGGCGGGG
rnacentral:rRNA from 1 species